rnacentral:rRNA from 1 species
AUGGAGAAUCAUCCUUUUAGGGGUUUGUUCGGGGUAUCUUCACCUCAACCAGAACCACAAUUAGUUGCCCCUCAACCUACUGCACCUACUGAAAAUAUUGGUUAUGAAAUUCCUUCAGGUAUGACAGAACAACUGAUAGCUAAUCCUUAUGUAGGAGAUGGAACUGAACAUCCUGAUAUGCACUUGAUAUAUGUGGAUGAAAUUUGUGGAUUAUUUAAGCUUGCAGGUUUACCCGGAGAUGAAGCUAAGAAAAAGGUUUUCCCUUUACCUUUGAAGGAAAAAAAGCAUUGGCAUGGUAUAGGUUGUGCGAUGAUAUUGGAUCUUGGAAUUGGAAUCGAUUGA